CCUACGGGGGGCUGCAGUGAGGAAUAUUGGUCAAUGGGCGCGAGCCUGAACCAGCCAAGUAGCGUGAAGGAUGACUGCCCUACGGGUUGUAAACUUCUUUUAUAAAGGAAUAAAGUGAGGCACGUGUGCCUUUUUGUAUGUACUUUAUGAAUAAGGAUCGGCUAACUCCGUUCCAUCAGCCGCGGUAAUACGGAGGAUCCGAGCGUUAUCCGGAUUUAUUGGGUUUAAAGUGAGCGUAGAUGGGUUUUUAAGUCAGUUGUGAAAGUUUGUGGCACAACCGUACAAUUGCAAUUUAUACUGGCAGUCUUGAGUACAGUUGAGGUAGGCGGAAUUCGUGGUGUAGCGGUGAAAUGCGUAGAUAUCACGAAGAACUCCGAUGGCGAAGGCAGCUUACUAAGCUGACACUGACAUUGAUGCUCGAAAGUGUGGGUAUCAAACAGGAUUAGAUACCCGGGUAGUC
rnacentral:rRNA from 1 species